GUCCUCUCAGGGUCACACCUGGGGAGUUUCCAGUACUCUAACAGCCUUGGUUACGAGAGAGAGAGAGUCAAGCAGAGGCCUACCCAUUCCAUUCCUAGCUUGGCUAGUGGCUAGCGAGUGGAAGGCAAUCUGCCACAAGU